CGCACAUUGCGCCCGCUGGUACUCCGGCGGGCAUGCCUGUCCGAGCGUCAUUUCAACCUUCAGGAACCUCCUUUCGGGGAGCGUGACUGGUGUUGGGGCUCGGCCGCUCCCCUGCGGCCGUCCCCUAAAUGUAGUGGCGGUCCCGACCGCGAUCCCCUGCGUAGUACUGUACCUCGCAUUGGAGAGCUUCGUGACCUGCCGUGAAACCCCCAAUUUUCAAUGGUUGACCUCGGAUCAGGUAGGAAUACCCGCUGAACUUAA
rnacentral:misc_RNA from 1 species